AUGAUGUCUUUUGACUUCAUAUUUAUUUUGCAUGUCAUGAAAGAACUUAUGGGAAUCACGGACAUGCUAUGCAAAAAGUUGCAACAAAAGUCUCAAGAUAUUGUGAAUGCCAUGGAUGAUGUUAAGACUACCAAAAUGUUGAUCCAGGAGCUAAGAGAUAAUGGUUGGAACAAGCUUAAAGCUGACGUGCUUUCAUUCUGUGCCAAACACGGAGUUCAAACACCACAUUUCAGUGAGUUAUAUGUGGAUUUCAUUAAUUCUCGUGCGGAGGAUGAGACUACAGUUGAGCACCAUUAUCGCUGUGACAUUUUCAUGGUUGCUGUUGAUCAGCAAGCACAAGAGCUGAAUUGUAGAUUCAACAAACAAGCAACAGAGCUUCUCAUCCUCUGUACUUCCUUGGACCCAAAAGAUUCAUUCCGUUCAUUUAACAUAGAUAAUAUAUGUUCUCUGGCUUCAAAGUUCUAUCCUGCUGAUUUUAAAGAACAAGAAAUGAAUAAUCUAAGAUGUCAGUUACGACAUUAUACGAAUGUUGUACCCACAAGCCCAAAGUUUCAGAAUUUGACAACUAUAUCAGAACUUUGUCAACGACUUGCAUCUAGUGGAAAAUCAGAUGAAUAUUACUUGAUUGACAGACUCAUUCGGCUUGUUCUUACUUUACCGGUUUCAACGGCAACGACAGAACGUGCAUUUUCUGCCAUGAAACUUGUGAAGACAAGGCUUCGGAAUAAAAUGGAAGAUGGAUUUCUAAGGGAUUGCUUGCUAAUUUAUAUUGAAAAGGAGAUUGUUGUUGGAAUAUCAACAGAUGCAAUUAUAGAUGAGUUCGAUGAACCACCACGUCGAGUGCCAUUUAGUUGA
rnacentral:rRNA from 1 species